UGGGGAAUAUUGCACAAUGGGCGAAAGCCUGAUGCAGCGACGCCGCGUGCGGGAUGAAGGCCUUCGGGUUGUAAACCGCUUUUGAUUGGGAGCAAGCGAGAGUGAGUGUACCUUUCGAAUAAGCACCGGCUAACUACGUGCCAGCAGCCGCGGUAAUACGUAGGGUGCAAGCGUUAUCCGGAAUUAUUGGGCGUAAAGAGCUCGUAGGCGGUUUGUCGCGUCUGGUGUGAAAGUCCAUCGCUUAACGGUGGAUCUGCGCCGGGUACGGGCAGGCUAGAGUGCAGUAGGGGAGAUUGGAAUUCCCGGUGUAACGGUGGAAUGUGUAGAUAUCGGGAAGAACACCAAUGGCGAAGGCAGAUCUCUGGGCUGUUACUGACGCUGAGGAGCGAAAGCAUGGGGAGCGAACAGGAUUAGAUACCCUGGUAGUCCAUGCCGUAAACGGUGGAUGCUGGAUGUGGGGCCCUUCCACGGGCUCCGUGUCGGAGCUAACGCGUUAAGCAUCCCGCCUGGGGAGCACGGCCGCAA
rnacentral:rRNA from 1 species